AGAUUGAACGCUGGCGGCAUGCCUUACACAUGCAAGUCGAACGGCAGCACGGGAGCAAUCCUGGUGGCGAGUGGCGAACGGGUGAGUAAUACAUCGGAACGUGCCCAGUAGUGGGGGAUAGCCCGGCGAAAGCCGGAUUAAUACCGCAUACGACCUAUGGGUGAAAGCGGGGGAUCGCAAGACCUCGCGUUAUUGGAGCGGCCGAUGGCAGAUUAGGUUGUUGGUGAGGUAAAAGCUCACCAAGCCGACGAUCUGUAGCUGGUUUGAGAGGACGACCAGCCACACUGGGACUGAGACACGGCCCAGACUCCUACGGGAGGCAGCAGUGGGGAAUUUUGGACAAUGGGCGCAAGCCUGAUCCAGCCAUGCCGCGUGCGGGAAGAAGGCCUUCGGGUUGUAAACCGCUUUUGCAGGAAGAAACGGUCUGAUCCAAUACAUCGGACUAAUGAACGGUACCUGAAGAAUAAGCAACCGGCUAAACUACGUCGCCAGCAGCCG
rnacentral:rRNA from 1 species